rnacentral:rRNA from 1 species
AUGGGAAGACGGCCGGAUAGGUCGCUAGGGGCAUCGGCGUGCUGCGAGCGAGUGGUGGCCGUCAUCUUCAUCGUGUGUAUUGCCCUUCUACUGGUGAUGGUGGCGACGACGAGUGGUGCUGGCGUGAGCUUAGGGCCGGCUCGGGCCCGCGGCGGAGUGACGGCACAGAAGUCAGGUGGCGGACAAGCCGGCGAGGACGCGUACCGAAGCAGCAAGAGGAGGAUUCCCAAGGGGCCUGACCCUAUCCACAACAGGCGUGCCGGGAAGACGACGAUCGCGCCACGCCGGAGAGACUAG